rfam:Triticum aestivum genome assembly, contig: Triticum_aestivum_CS42_TGACv1_scaffold_034798_1BL
UGUAUACUCCCUCCAUCCCAAAUUACUUGUCGCAGAAAUGGAUGUAUCAAGACGUAACUUUUGGUUCUAGAUACAUCCAUUCUGCGACAAGUAAUUCGGGGCGGAGGGGGUAUUAA